UUUUUCCAGGUAUCUUGUUCAGAUAAUCACAUUCAUCUGCUAAAAAUGCCUACAAUGGAUAUCUCAAAAUCCAUAUCGGGAAUCAAGCCUCCUUUUUCGUUUCCUCUCAAACAUGAAGGAUCCUGCACACAAGUUGCAUUUGAGCAGACAACUGGAUUAGUUGCUGUUUCCACUGAAGAUUAUUGUGUACAAUUCUAUAGCUUGUUUGACAACCAUGAGGUUUCAGAGGUCCAAGUGUGCAAAAGAAAUUUUCAGCCUGCAG